UGCUGGUAUGAUUAGUGGCGAACGGGUGAGUAAUGCUUAGGAAUCUGCCUAUUAGUGGGGGACAACAUUCCGAAAGGAAUGCUAAUACCGCAUACGUCCUAUGGAAGAAAGCAGGGGAUCGCAAGACCUUGCGCUAAUAGAUGAGCCUAAGUCGGAUUAGCUAGUUGGUGGGGUAAAGGCCUACCAAGGCGACGAUCUGUAGCUGGUCUGAGAGGAUGAUCAGCCACACUGGGACUGAGACACGGCCCAGACUCCUACGGGAGGCAGCAGUGGGGAAUAUUGGACAAUGGGCGAAAGCCUGAUCCAGCCAUGCCGCGUGUGUGAAGAAGGCCUUUUGGUUGUAAAGCACUUUAAGUGGGGAGGAAAAGCUAAUAAUUAAUACCUAUUAGCCCUGACGUUACCCACAGAAUAAGCACCGGCUAACUCUGUGCCAGCAGCCGCGGUAAUACAGAGGGUGCAAGCGUUAAUCGGAAUUACUGGGCGUAAAGCGAGCGUAGGUGGUCAUUUAAGUCAGAUGUGAAAUCCCCGGGCUUAACCUGGGAACUGCAUCUGAUACUGGGUGACUAGAGUAGGUGAGAGGGAAGUAGAAUUCCAGGUGUAGCGGUGAAAUGCGUAGAGAUCUGGAGGAAUACCGAUGGCGAAGGCAGCUUCCUGGCAUCAUACUGACACUGAGGUUCGAAAGCGUGGGUAGCAAACAGGAUUAGAUACCCUGGUAGUCCACGCCGUAAACGAUGUCUACCAGUCGUUGGGUCUCUUGAAGACUUAGUGACGCAGUUAACGCGAUAAGUAGACCGCCUGGGGAGUACGGCCGCAAGGUUAAAACUCAAAUGAAUUGACGGGGGCCCGCACAAGCGGUGGAGCAUGUGGUUUAAUUCGAUGCAACGCGAAGAACCUUACCUGGUCUUGACAUACACAGAAUCUUGC
rnacentral:rRNA from 1 species